GACGGAGGGUGCUAGCGUUGUUCGGAAUUACUGGGCAUAAAGGGCGCGUAGGCGGCUUGUUAAGUCAGGGGUGAAAGUUUUCGGCCCAACCGGAAAAUGGCCUUUGAUACUGGCGAGCUCGAGUGCGUGAGGGGUGACUGGAACGAGCAGUGUAGCGGUGAAAUGCGUAGAUAUUGCUCGGAAGGCCAACGGCGAAGGCAGGUCACUGGUACGCAACUGACGCUGAGGCACGAAAGCGUGGGGAGCAAACAGG
rnacentral:rRNA from 1 species